UGCAGCUGAAAUUGCAGACAUUCGGGUUCCUGGGUGAGCUUAGGAAGUGUCUCAAAAAUGGACAGCACUGCAGGUCCAGUGUCAAGAAUGAACGGCGAGAGGACAAGUGAGAAUCUAAGUACUCAGUGAGACCGAGCAUUGAAGGCUGAGAAGUAAGGGGCUGGCAGUUGAUAACAAGCUGAUUUCUGAAAGCUCAACCUGGGGUGUGGAAGAGGAGCUAAAAACGAACCAGUUGUGAAGCCUCAGAUCCCUUCUGCAUCACCUCUUUAGGACUCAACUGCCCUCUUUGCAAAAGUUGGGAAUUCACAAGCAUCACAACAGACCUUUGAAGAUAGAGUGGGCAAGAGCCAGUCCCCUGAGAUUCAGCAUUUGUUCAUUUAACAAAUAUUUUCCAUCUCAUAUAUGCCACUUUAUUAACCUUGUGGAAUGGAAAGAAAACACAACCCCCAGCCCUUACUUUUGAACUUACUUUAAAAGCCUUAUGAAUUAGGGAGAAUGUUGUGAGCAUUUAAACAACUAAGGUAAAUGGUAAUGAAAAUGAUAAUACAAAAAUUGUCAUGGCUGGCAAUGGAGGUUCAAGCCUAUACUUACACAAGUGAGAGAGUCAAGAAGAUCACAACCCCAAGACCACUCUAGUCUACAUAGUAUGUUUGAGACCAGUUAGGGGUAUGCAAUGAGACCCUGUGUCAACAAAGCAAAACAAAACAAAACAAAACAAAACAAAACAAAACAAUGGAAUGAGCAGAGACAAUAUGAGAUCAAGCUCUUGAAGAAUGGGGUUUAUGAAGCCCCUUGCUGUUUAAAACCAUCACAUUCCUCAUCCCAAGGAUUAUAGAGGUGAUAAUCCUUUAACACAAGCCUGCUUAACUUGCCAAAUGGACAGCUUCACCAAAAUGGUCAAUCAGGCUCUUUCCUGGAAACUUAAAA
rnacentral:lncRNA from 1 species